AUGAACGCUAGCUACAGGCUUAACACAUGCAAGUCGAGGGGCAUCAGGAAGAAAGCUUGCUUUCUUUGCUGGCGACCGGCGCACGGGUGAGUAACACGUAUCCAACCUGCCCUUUACUCGGGGAUAGCCUUUCGAAAGAAAGAUUAAUACCCGAUAGUAUAAUGAUUCCGCAUGGUUUGAUUAUUAAAGGAUUCCGGUAAAGGAUGGGGAUGCGUUCCAUUAGGUUGUUGGUGAGGUAACGGCUCACCAAGCCUUCGAUGGAUAGGGGUUCUGAGAGGAAGGUCCCCCACAUUGGAACUGAGACACGGUCCAAACUCCUACGGGAGGCAGCAGUGAGGAAUAUUGGUCAAUGGGCGAUGGCCUGAACCAGCCAAGUAGCGUGAAGGAUGACUGCCCUAUGGGUUGUAAACUUCUUUUAUAUUAGAAUAAAGUGCAGUAUGUAUACUGUUUUGUAUGUAUAAUAUGAAUAAGGAUCGGCUAACUCCGUGCCAGCAGCCGCGGUAAUACGGAGGAUCCGAGCGUUAUCCGGAUUUAUUGGGUUUAAAGGGUGCGUAGGCGGUUUGAUAAGUUAGAGGUGAAAUCCCGGGGCUUAACUCCGGAACUGCCUCUAAUACUGUUAGACUAGAGAGUAGUUGCGGUAGGCGGAAUGUAUGGUGUAGCGGUGAAAUGCUUAGAUAUCACGAAGAACUCCGAUUGCGAAGGCAGCUCACUGGACUGCAACUGACACUGAUGCUCGAAAGUGUGGGUAUCAAACAGGAUUAGAUACCCUGGUAGUCCACACUGUAAACGAUGAUUACUAGGUGUUGGAGGAUUGACCCCUUCAGUGCCGCAGUUAACACAAUAAGUAAUCCACCUGGGGAGUACGACCGCAAGGUUGAAACUCAAAGGAAUUGACGGGGGCCCGCACAAGCGGAGGAACAUGUGGUUUAAUUCGAUGAUACGCGAGGAACCUUACCCGGGCUUAAAUUGCAGUGGAAUGAUGUGGAAACAUGUCAGUGAGCAAUCACCGCUGUGAAGGUGCUGCAUGGUUGUCGUCAGCUCGUGCCGUGAGGUGUCGGCUUAAGUGCCAUAACGAGCGCAACCCUUAUCUUUAGUUACUAACAGGUCAUGCUGAGGACUCUGGAGAGACUGCCGUCGUAAGAUGUGAGGAAGGUGGGGAUGACGUCAAAUCAGCACGGCCCUUACGUCCGGGGCUACACACGUGUUACAAUGGGGGGUACAGAAGGCAGCUACCUGGUGACAGGAUGCUAAUCCCAAAAGCCUCUCUCAGUUCGGAUCGAAGUCUGCAACCCGACUUCGUGAAGCUGGAUUCGCUAGUAAUCGCGCAUCAGCCACGGCGCGGUGAAUACGUUCCCGGGCCUUGUACACACCGCCCGUCAAGCCAUGGGAGCCGGGGGUACCUGAAGUACGUAACCGCAAGGAGCGUCCUAGGGUAAAACUGGUGACUGGGGCU
rnacentral:rRNA from 1 species